UGCAAGUCGAACGUGAACGGAGCAAUCCUAGUAAAGUGGCGUACGGGUGAGUAACACGUAGGUAAUCUACCUUACAGUUCGGAAUAACCUGACGAAAGUCGGGCUAAUACUGGAUAGAGCGACGGAAGCCGUAACGGUUUUUUCGGGAAAGGGAGCUCGAUAAGAGCCUUCGCUGUAAGAUGAGCCUGCGUCUGAUUAGUUAGUUGGUGGGGUAAUGGCCUACCAAGACGAUGAUCAGUAGCUGGUCUGAGAGGAUGAUCAGCCACACUGGAACUGAAACACGGUCCAGACUCCUACGGGAGGCAGCAGUGGGGAAUCUUGCGCAAUGGACGAAAGUCUGACGCAGCCACGCCGCGUGAGUGAAGAAGGCCUUCGGGUUGUAAAGCUCUGUCACCUGGGACGAAAACACUGACGGUUAAUAGCCGUCGGAAUUGACGGUACCAGGGGAGGAAGCACCGGCUAACUUCGUGCCAGCAGCCGCGGUAAUACGAAGGGUGCAAGCGUUGCUCGGAAUUAUUGGGCGUAAAGGGUUGGUAGGUGGUCUUGUUUGUCUAAGGUGAAAUCCCAUGGCUUAACUGUGGAAGUGCCUUAGAAACGGCAAGACUAGAGUCCUAGAGGGGUUUGUGGAAUUCCCGGUGUAGCGGUGAAAUGCGUAGAGAUCGGGAGGAACACCAGCGGCGAAGGCGGCAAACUGGAUAGGCACCGACACUCAACAACGAAAGCGAGGGGAGCAAACAGGAUUAGAUACCCUGGUAGUCCACGCUGUAAACGAUGGGUACUAGGCUUUGUGGGAAUAGACCCCUGCAGAGCCGGAGCUAACGCAAUAAGUACCCCGCCUGGGAAGUACGGUCGCAAGACUAAAACUCAAAGGAAUUGACGGGGGCCCGCACAAGCGGUGGAUCAUGUGGUUUAAUUCGAAGCAACGCGCAAAACCUUACCUGGGUUUGACAUCCUCGGACCGCUGUAGAAAUACAGUUUUUGUAGCAU
rnacentral:rRNA from 1 species